rnacentral:rRNA from 1 species
UUCGCCCUUAGAGUUUGAUCCUGGCUCAGGACGAACGCUGGCGGCGUGCUUAACACAUGCAAGUCGAACGGAGGUUACGAGGAAGCUUGCGAAUUGUAACCUUAGUGGCGGACGGGUGAGUAACGCGUGGAUAACCUGCCUGACAGACCGGGACAACACCGGGAAACUGGUGCUAAUACCGGAUACGCUCAAGAGUGCCCAUGCACACUUGAGGAAAGGAGCAAUCCGCUGACAGAUGGGUCCGCGUCCCAUUAGCUAGUUGGAGGUGUAAAGGACCACCAAGGCGACGAUGGGUAGCCGGCCUGAGAGGGUGGACGGCCACACUGGAACUGAGACACGGUCCAGACUCCUACGGGAGGCAGCAGUGGGGAAUCUUCCGCAAUGGGCGAAAGCCUGACGAAGCAACGCCGCGUGAGUGAUUAAGGCCUUCGGGUUGUAAAACUCUGUCAUCAGGGAAGAAAAUAAUGACGGUACCUGAGGAGGAAGCCCCGGCUAACUACGUGCCAGCAGCCGCGGUAAAACGUAGGGGGCGAGCGUUGUCCGGAAUUACUGGGCGUAAAGGGCGCGUAGGCGGUUGUCCAAGUCAGAGGUGAAAACUCUGGGCUCAACUCAGAGCGUGCCUCUGAAACUGGGCGACUUGAGGGCAGGAGAGGGGAGUGGAAUUCCCAGUGUAGCGGUGAAAUGCGUAGAUAUUGGGAGGAACACCAGUGGCGAAGGCGACUCUCUGGCCUGUUUCUGACGCUGAGGCGCAAAAGCGUGGGGAGCAAACGGGAUUAGAUACCCCGGUAGUCCACGCCGUAAACGAUGCGUGCCACGUGUAGGAGGGAUCGACCCCUUCUGUGCCGUACCUACCCAAUAAACACCCCGCCUGGGGAGUCUGGCCGCCGGGUUGGUGCUCUACGGAUUUGUCGGGGGCCCGCUCAAGCGGUGGGGCAUGUGGUUUGUUUCGUCGCCCCGCGGGGGUCCUUCCCCGGGUUUGGCCUCCCCUGCCUGCUCUUGUGUGNUGGUCUUUUUCCUUCGGGUUGGCCGGGGGGCCGGUGGUGCCUGGUUGUCGUCUGCUCGUGUCGUGGGGUGUUGGGUUUUGUCCCGCCCCGGGCGCCCCCCCUCCGUUUUGUUGCUUNCGCGUGGGGCGGGGCCCUCUUGUCGGGCUGCCGUUGUCUCUUCGGGGGGUGGUGGGGGUGGCGUCCNGUCCUCCUGCCCCUUCUUUCCUGGGCCGCCCCCGUGCUUCCCUGGCCGGUUCCGNGGGNNGCUUNGCCGCGNGGCGGGGCCCCUCCCCCCCNGCCGGUCUCAGUU